ACAAAGAUUCAGACAAAAGGUUCCAGGUUUGAGAAUAAGGUGGGAUCCCUGGAUCUAGUAGCCGGUGAAUCACUGAUCAAAGAGCAGAUUUUGGAGAGAUUCUUCAUCGAUCUAGUGGCCGGUGAAUCACUGAUCAAAGAGCAAGUAGCCGCCAGGUUUAAUGAUUUGGUGGGAUCUACAGAUGUAGUGGCUGGUGAACCGCUUCUUCUUCUUCCACGAAGAUUCAGACAAAAGCGAGCACGGUUGGAACUGA